GUUCUAUUAUAAAGUCCCAGUGCUAAUUAAACAGCAAACAUUUGCCUUUGUGGGUAUUUUACAGGUUUACUUACAAAACUGAGCAUGUGUCUAUUUAUUUUUAAAGCUCAAAUAUUUAAACUUGCAGAAGCUGUGCCUACAAGCAGUCCAAAGUAUAAAGCAGGUUUUAAUAAAAUGUAGUCAAAAGUGAACACUUCAAUUGCAGAUAUAUUACAUUUUGUUCAAGGCUAAGCUUCCAUAGCAGUGUAAUCCUCCCUUUUCUAAAUUAGGCAUAUAAUGUGUCAAGGUAAAGACGUGGUGUUCGUCCUUUCACCAUCCUUUCACCACCUUUACGUGUGAAUGGACAUGAUGCUAAUAGGAUCCUAAUAGAUACUUCGGGUAAAUUACAAUACAGGGCAUUCUUCGGGCCAAACAACAGUGAAUAUUUUUAAAAGGUAAUGAAAGCAUACCUUGGAAUUUUAUUUUUGUUGAAGGACAAGGGAAACAACUCUUUACUGUAGAAAUAGAAAAAAAAAUGUGAAGUUGUUUCUGCUUAUUCUCCCAAGUAAGACUUCUGAGUGAACGUAGCCUACUCUUUUCUGAUGCAGCCCACGUUGCAUCUGCGGAUUUUAUGCAUUUGAAAAAAUAUAUCUGUACAGCCUUCAAGUUACUAAGUGCCUGAAGGUGACAGGCCUCCCCCUCGCAUACUCUCUGUGGCGUAAGCAUGAGGUGCAACACUAGGUGACUCCAGUCCAAGAUAAGAAAAUAGAAUGGAUUUUCUUGGUUGUGAGUUUUCAGAUGUGCUCGUAACUCGGGUGCACAGUGGUAGCGACAGCAGGUACCUCAGGAUCCGGGAAUACUAGAGGUUGAGCAGCAGGCUGCUAAGUGACUCAAGGCCGGCUAGUGACACCGUUCUGUACGGACAGACCGCGGUUUACCCAUGCAGGUCCCACGACUCAUGCACUUAGGAUCGGUAGUCCUUUUUGCCGUAGGGCUUGUUUCGCAAUAUGUUAUCAAUUUCAUUUACCACGUGUGAUGUCAUCUUUGGGAGAACCUGAGCAGGAGAAGGACGAAGGGAAAGAAAACUAAGAUGCUCUACGUCUUUUUUAAAUACGAAGUCUUUCAGAGCCAGUACGCCUCCCCCUUGCGGCGUCGCCCUCCUGACAAGCUGCUCUGCACCGAGAGGCCAUUUCCGGGAUUUGGUCACAUGUCGAUCUAACUACAUGGAGGAAGGCAGGGAUGGGCUUGUUCAUCUCAACAUCUCCCAUCCUGACACAGUGCUUGCCACCGAGCCACAGUGAAGGAGGAAUCUAAGCGACCAGGGCUCGCUCGACGGGGUAAAAACAGAUCUCUUCAGUAUUUCAGAUUGAGCACAGAUGCCACCUCCUUAUUCCAGGACAACUUUGCCGACAGUCCCGUGAGGCUCCACGGUGCUUGUGAAUUCCACACUGUUUCUAACAGGUUCGGUUCCCAAGUUACUCCGUGAAGAUGGGGACUGUCCCCUUCCCUGUAUCCUCAGGAUUCAACAUAGAGCCCAGCACUGGACUAGAUACUCAGGAGAUAAUCUCCAAGGAAAAGAUGAGCUCUUCUGCACAGAUUAGCGGGCUAUUACUUUUAUACCUAAGUCACAAAAUUCUCUAAAUUUUCUUAAAGCCUAUUUCUUUGCCAUCUCGCAAUGCUGUGACCAUUUUACAGGUAAUGCCAGGGGUAGGACUGGUCUGUGGGAUUGGCCCUGAAACCUCCAGCUGGCCUGUUUGUUAAUAAUGGAUUGAAACUCAGGCUGCAGCUAUAAAGCCAUGGACAGAGGAAGUCACAUUUCAUCUCUGGACCUUGUCUUGGAAUCGUUUGGCACCUAAGAUCACUGACUAUUGUAAUUUAAACUUCAAAAUCUUUGGCUCAAAAGAGCAGCAAAAUCUUUGAUAUUGAAGCUGAAAUCUCUAGUAAACAGCUGAAGCUAAAAAAAUCUCCUUCUGAAAUGACACUGUGAUGUGCAAAACUCUAACCUGAACAGCUGGAGUACUCGAACUGCCACUCUUCCCCCACCUUGAUUCACCUGAGUUUGCAUGUUCCUAUUUUCAUUUGACAGAGGGGGUACAUAUUUUAUGAUUUUUCUAUUAGCAUUUUGCUAGCAACAGGAAAGACCUGCCCAUAAAUUUUAUUGCACUAUUUCUUUCUUUCUUUUUUUUUUCCCCCUAGUUCAUUUCUACUUAAAAGCUGCACCCCUGGUCUGUCGAUCAGACUUUGUUGAUCUUCUGUUAUGGCUCAUUGCACUCAGUCAACAAACAUUCACUGAGUGCCUGUCAUGUGCCAGGCUCUGUGAUGAAUUACCUGAGUUUCAGUGUCUGUUCUAGAGAUAAUCACAAAUCUCUGUCCUGUAACUUGAGAAGUGUUUUGUAUUUGGGGUCCCUCCCUCCAUGAUUGCCGCCUAACGGGAAAUGCCCCUAACAGGAGCUGGUCAAAGCGCUUUACAUUUUGGGCCACUGUCAUUGCUCUAACAAGUUGGUACAUGACCCAAGCUUGGCGUCUUCUCUGGACUGGAGUCCUAAAGAAAGCUCUCUAUUCUCUCGCAUUACGUGUCUUUAAGGAUGUAAACCUGCAAACAGCAGUUUUCCCACUCCUGGCCUCACGGAGAAGACCUGUUUGUAGUAGAAGACACCCACAUGCAGAGAAAAAUAGAGAUGGAGAGUCUUGACAACGUACAGGUCUAUGGUUGGAGUCAACCCUGAGAGCAUCCCCAUUCUGUCCUUCGCAGCAAGGGUUCAUAUGUUCUCCUUCUUCAAUUAAAUUCAUUUGAAUUAAAUGCUUUUGUUUGCAACUAGAGAGUUCUAAGACUCUGUAAGAAGUGUUAAUGGAGGGGCACCUGAGUGGCUCAAGUGGUUGAGCAACUGCCUUCAGCUCAGGGCAUGACCCGGGGUCCUGGGAUUGAGUCCCCGCAUGGAGUCCCCGCAUGGAGUCCCCACAUCGAGUCCCCACAUCGAGUCCCCACAUCGAGUCCCCACAUCGAGUCCCCGCAUCGGGCUCCCUGCAUGGAGCCUGCUUCUCCCUCUGCCUGUGUCUCUGCAUCUCUCUCUCUCCGUGUCUCUCAUGAAUAAAUAAAUAAAAUCUUUAAAAAAAUAGAUUUAAAAAAGGAACUGUUAAUGGAAUAACAGAGGAAGAUGUAAAAAUUCAGUUUUAUAAAGUGAGGACAGGCUUCACAGAAGUGAAGACAGCCAAGCUUUGUCUUUAGAGAUGAGGAGGGUUUCACAGCAAGAUGAAAAAAGGGCAUUUCUGGGGGGCAAAGGAGAGUACAGUGUAUUUGGAUGAAUAAUACAGUGAUAUAAUAUAGGGAGAGACAAGAAUGGAAAAAUGGGCACGACUUAGAUCCCAAGGUUAUUUCCUUGAAUGCUUUUCUGUGGGGUUUGGGUUUUGUCCUAUACGGAAUGACUGGGAGGGAACAGAUUUUAAGCAGGGUUAUGAUUUGGUCAGAUUAGUCUUUAGAAAGAUCACUGAUCACAGUGAUGGGUAGUUGACAAAAGGAAAAAAUAAAUAAGUGAAGACAGGAAGCUAUACUGCAGCAAAAUAGGGAAGAAGUGAUGGUGGUUGGAACAAAGGCUAUGCAGGGGAUGGGCCACAGAGUUAGGAAAUGGCCUGGAGGAAUGGGUGCCCCACUGGACAAGGCUGAGGGAGGAAAGGAGGCAGUCUGACAUAACCCUUGGCUUCUGACUGGGAUGGCCAGAUGGAGGGUGGAGGUACUGCUAACCAAGAGGAAGGGCAGGUUCUAGGGGGUGAUGAUAGAUUCCACUAGGCAUGACUAAUGCCCAUGGGGGAUGCCUAACAGACAUGUGAAGAAGUAGCAGAGUCUAGCUCAGCAGUGAAGACAUAGCCGGUGACAAAAGGUCUGGAGUCACUGUGAGGGCAGUGGGCCAAACGCAGCCUCCCAUAAAACCCCCAGGUUGUAUUCCUUUCUAAGCGACCCCUGGAUAGGUGUUUUUCACACUGUGUUACUUUAUUUACCUUUCAAAUACAAGUUCAAUACUUACAACGGCAUGAAACGUCAGUUAUCUACUUUAUUGGUAUAAUUUACAAUAACUAAUGUGAAACACCAGCCAUUUAUUUCAUUUAGAGUGGGAGGAAGUGAAAGCUGCUAACUUAUUUAUCCACUUGCCUAGUUCUCUUUAAUUUUUUAAAAUAUUUUAUUUAUUUAUUCAUGAGAGACCCGGAGAGAGAGGCAGAGACACAAGCAGAGGGAGAAGCAGGCCCCAUGCAGGGGAGCCCGACAUGGGACUCGAUCC